CAGACAGUCACUUGGUGAUUCUUCCUGCAUCUCCCUUGGAAAUUCCAGCUGCUGGCCGAAGCAGCCCCCCGCCCCCAAUUAUGAUCCCAACAGGAUUACCAGACACGUUCCCUGCCCCUUAGCGAGAUUAUGAAGGAGGGAAUAAGUUGUAAGAGGGCAGAGUUGUCAAGUAGGACUCCCAGGUGCAGAGGCUGGCAUUUUGGGGGCUCCUCCAGCGUAACCUCCCAAUCUGCAAUUGGGUAAAAGUUCCCCGGCUCUCCUCUCUCCGUGGUCCUGGGAGAAAACAGGCAGGAGCGAAGACGGGACGGAAGAAUCUUGGCCCCUCUCCUUCGUACCACGGCCCCCGUCGAAAGAAAAUCCCUAAAGAUAGAGCUUUAGGAAGCGCCACUAAGAAGGGUAUCUCAGCGAAGCACCAGUACCGUGCUCUGCACAGUAAGCGCCCAGUAAAUACCAUUGAUUGACUGGUUGCCCCUCCUGGCUCCUGCGAUGCGAGUUGUGUCUGCGCUGACGGAGAUUUUUCUACCGGGGCUCUGCGGGUCAACGGAAGCACCUGCCCGAAAGGAUGCGGGAUCCUUGGGGAAACGGAAGGAGCGGAUGGGGCAAGGCAGACAAGCCGGACGUUUAGGCCAAGCGGGACGAGCGAUGGGACAACGAGGCUGUGAGAAACAAAAUCAGAAACCAGAGAAACGGCGUGGUCCAGUGGUUUGAUCGCGGGCCUAGAGUCAGAAGGACUUGGUCCUCAUCCCGUCUCCGCCACUUACCUGCUGUGGGACCUUGGGGAAAUCACCGCACUUCUCUGGGCCUCAGUUCCUUCAUCUGUAAAAUGGGGAUUAACCCCAUCCCGCAAAGGGCUCAAAGUCCUAAUCCCCAUUUUACAUCUGAGUUAACUGAGGCCCAGAGAAGUGAAGUCACUUCUCCCAAGUGCUCGAUCAUGUUGAUUGAGCACUUAGUGUGUGCAGAGCAUGUACUAAACUCUGGCUAACAUGCACGCUAGAGGGGCUCACACUGGGGGAGAGAGCUCUGUGUGUCAACUGAAAGGUGGACAAAGCAGUUGCCUUGAAGGGGAGUGGGUUCUUUUAUGAAUAAUAAUAAUAAUAAUUGCGGUUUUUUGUCAAGUGCUGACUAUGUGCCAGGCACUGUACUAAACCCUGGACUAGAUCCAAAAUAACCAGUUCAUACCCAAUCCCUGUCCUACAUGCUUCUGACAUUGUAAGUAGGUAGGAAAAAAUGUAUUAAAUCUCCAUCUUACAGAUGAGGAAACUGAGGUCCACAGAGGUCACCUCCCCAAGGUCACACAGCCGUUUGUUUCACCAUUCAAAACAUUCCUCAUUAGAAAAGGGCUUGGUCCACCCAUAAUCUCAGGUUUAUUUAAUCACACUGACACACUCGCUCUAAAUCACUCUCGUCACUUAUGGGUUUUCUUAGCGAAGCAGCGUGGCUCAGUGGAAAGAGCCCGGGCUUGGGAGUUAGAGGUUGUGGAUUCUAAUCCCGGCUCCACCAUUUGCCUGCUGUGUGAUUUGGGGCAAGUCACUUAACUUCUCUGUGCUUCAGUAACCUCAUCUGUAAAAUGAGGAUUAAGAAGAUGAGCCCCACUUGGGACAACCCGAUCACCUUGUAUCCCCCCCAGUGCUCAGAACAGUGCUUUGCACAUAGUAAGCGCUUAAUAAAUACCGCCAUUAUCAUUGUUUUCUUCACUACUUGUGCAAAUGUUCUUUUCCAUUUCCAAUGCUAGGUUGCCAACACCGUCCUUCUCCAUCUCUCUCUCCUCCCUCCCUCUCUCAGUCUCC
rnacentral:lncRNA from 1 species